rnacentral:ncRNA from 1 species
UCUCAUUCAGAGUGGCGGAGGGACUGGCCCUAUGAUGCCACGGCAACCGGUCAACGUAGCGUGCGUUGAUGGCCAGGUGCCAAAUCCAGCUUGAACCAAUAAUUCGGUGGUUUGGGAAAGAUGAGA